rnacentral:rRNA from 1 species
UACGGGGGGAGCAAGCGUUGUUCGGAUUUACUGGGCGUAAAGGGCGCGUAGGCGGCGUGACAAGUCACUUGUGAAAUCUCCGGGCUUAACUCGGAACGGUCAAGUGAUACUGUCGUGCUAGAGUACAGAAGGGGCAACUGGAAUUCUCGGUGUAGCGGUGAAAUGCGUAGAUAUCAAGAGGAACACCAGUGGCGAAGGCGAGUCCCUGGACAAACCCUGACACUGAGGCACGAAAGCCAAGGGAGCAAACAGG